GUUCUGCCCACAUUUCUUCCCAUCUUAAACCACAAACUGUGGUCUUUUUUAGUAAAAAAAAAAAAACUUUGUUCUUUCUGGACUGUCUUUGAUGAUUGCUCUGUUGUGAGGCCUUUUUAAUUUAAUCCAUCCAACAAUUCUAUCACGGACAACAAAACGUUUCUAGUCUUAUCCAACACGGGUACAAAACAUUUCUGGACUCAUCCAAUACUCAGUCCCCAAAGGAAGGGCGGUGGAAACGUUUCCCUCGUUGUAUUUUUUUCUCCAGAGGAUUACAUUUCUUAAAUUGAAGCCACUUUUGGUGAUCAUGGCUGCUCUUUCAGUGUGGUUUUGGAACGAGAGGUUUUGGCUCCCACAUAAUGUGACUUGGGCGGAUCUUGCAGACCCAGCGCCCGGGGUGGAGUAUCCAAAAGCCGGGCACUUACUCUCUGCCUUACCGUUGGCUGUGGGGAUCUUUGCUGUCAGAAUACUAUUUGAAAGGUUCAUAGCCAGUCCAUGUGCCUUCCUCUUGCAUAUCCACGCUGCCUCAGUCCACUGGCGAGCCACACCCAACCCUGUCCUGGAGAAGGUGUUCACAUCCAUCACAAAGUGCCCAGACUCGCGACGCCUGGAUGGGUUAUCUAAGCAGCUGGACUGGGAUGUGAGGAAGAUCCAGAGAUGGUUCAGACACAGACGCAACCAGGACAAACCCAGCGUACUCACCAAGUUCUGUGAGAGCAUGUGGAGGCUUAUAUUUUAUCUGUUCAUGUUUACCUAUGGGAUCUGCUUUCUGUGGAAGUGCCCAUGGAUGUGGGAUACACACCACUGCUGGUACAACUACCCCUACCAGGUCCUGACUCCAGGCCUGUACCACUACUACGUGACUGAGCUGGGCUUCUACUGGUCUCUCAUGUUCUCUCAGUUUACUGACAUCAAACGCAAGGACUUCCCCAUCAUGUUCAUUCAUCACCUAGCAACAGUGAGCCUGAUCAGUUUUUCCUACGCUAACAACAUGCUACGUGUCGGGAGCCUGGUGAUGUGUGUCCACGACGCAUCAGACUUCCUACUGGAGGCAGCCAAACUGACCAACUACGCCAAGUACCAGCGCCUGUGUGACUUCCUGUUCGUUCUGUUUGCAGUAGUCUUCUUCAUCACAAGGCUUGUCCUCUACCCUCUAUGGAUCCUGAACACAACUUUGUUUGAGAGCUGGGAGAUGAUUGGUCCAUACCCUUCCUGGUGGCUCUUCAACUCCCUACUGCUGGUGCUACAGGUGCUACACGUCAUCUGGUCCUACCUCAUAGCCGGGAUCGCCUACAAGGCCUUGGUCCGAGGAAAGGUUUCUAAGGAUGACCGCAGUGAUGUUGAGAGCAGCUCAGAGGAGGAGGUGGACACCAACGGUACCAAUAACAAGGGGGUUAAAAUGGUGUUCUCUCCUAAAGUAGAGAACGGCACCAACGGCCACGCCGUCGCCACUAUAACCUGGCCACAACAGAUACGUAGCAGCAGCAGCAGCAGCAGUUGGUGACACAAGAAAGAGGAGUCCGCUGUCAGAUUCACAGUAUAGGGCUGACCACGGGGGUCCAAUAUGUCUGGCCUGGUUACACUGGGCAGCCACUAGUUGUCGGAGCUGUGCUGGAAAGAACCAUGUCAAAAAGAAAAGGAAAAUAUCUGAGCCAACACAGUACUAUUCAGGUCGGCCCUAUAGUGAGAUUCAGGCAUAUCUGAGCCAACACAGUACUAUUCAGGUCGGCCCUAUAGUGAGAUUCAGGCAUAUCUGAGCCAACACAGUACUAUUCAGGUGCCCUAUAGUGAGAUUCAGGCAUAUCUGAGCCAACACAGUACUAUUCAGGUCGGCCCUAUAGUGAGAUUCAGGCAUAUCUGAGCCAACACAGUACUAUUCAGGUCUGCCCUAUAGUGAGAUUCAGGCAUAUCUGAGCCAACACAGUACUAUUCAGGUCGGCCCUAUAGUGAGAUUCAGGCAUAUCUGAGCCAACACAGUACUAUUCAGGUCGGCCCUAUAGUGAGAUUCAGGCAUAUCUGAGCCAACACAGUACUAUUCAGGUCGGCCCUAUAGUGAGAUUCAGGCAUAUCUGAGCCAACACAGUACUAUUCAGGUCGGCCCUAUAGUGAGAUUCAGGCAUAUCUGAGCCAACACAGUACUAUUCAGGUCGGCCCUAUAGUGAGAUUCAGGCAUAUCUGAGCCAACACAGUACUAUUCAGGUCGGCCCUAUAGUGAGAUUCAGGCAUAUCUGAGCCAACACAGUACUAUUCAGGUCGGCCCUAUAGUGAGAUUCAGGCAUAUCUGAGCCAACACAGUACUAUUCAGGUCGGCCCUAUAGUGAGAUUCAGGCAUAUCUGAGCCAACACAGUACUAUUCAGGUCGGCCCUAUAGUGAGAUUCAGGCAUAUCUGAGCCAACACAGUACUAUUCAGGUCGGCCCUAUAGUGAGAUUCAGGCAUAUCUGAGCCAACACAGUACUAUUCAGGUCGGCCCUAUAGUGAGAUUCAGGCAUAUCUGAGCCAACACAGUACUAUUCAGGUCGGCCCUAUAGUGAGAUUCAGGCAUAUCUGAGCCAACACAGUACUAUUCAGGUCGGCCCUAUAGUGAGAUUCAGGCAUAUCUGAGCCAACACAGUACUAUUCAGGUCGGCCCUAUAGUGAGAUUCAGGCAUAUCUGAGCCAACACAGUACUAUUCAGGUCGGCCCUAUAGUGAGAUUCAGGCAUAUCUGAGCCAACACAGUACUAUUCAGGUCGGCCCUAUAGUGAGAUUCAGGCAUAUCUGAGCCAACACAGUACUAUUCAGGUCGGCCCUAUAGUGAGAUUCAGGCAUAUCUGAGCCAACACAGUACUAUUCAGGUCGGCCCUAUAGUGAGAUUCAGGCAUAUCUGAGCCAACACAGUACUAUUCAGGUCGGCCCUAUAGUGAGAUUCAGGCAUAUCUGAG